UGGGGAAUUUUGGACAAUGGGCGCAAGCCUGAUCCAGCCAUGCCGCGUGCGGGAAGAAGGCCUUCGGGUUGUAAACCGCUUUUGUCAGGGAAGAAAUCUCCUGAGUUAAUACCUCGGGAGGAUGACGGUACCUGAAGAAUAAGCACCGGCUAACUACGUGCCAGCAGCCGCGGUAAUACGUAGGGUGCAAGCGUUAAUCGGAAUUACUGGGCGUAAAGCGUGCGCAGGCGGUUUUGUAAGACAGAGGUGAAAUCCCCGGGCUCAACCUGGGAACUGCCUUUGUGACUGCAAGGCUUGAGUGCGGCAGAGGGGGAUGGAAUUCCGCGUGUAGCAGUGAAAUGCGUAGAUAUGCGGAGGAACACCGAUGGCGAAGGCAAUCCCCUGGGCCUGCACUGACGCUCAUGCACGAAAGCGUGGGGAGCAAAACAGGAUUGGAUACCCUGGUAGUCCACGCCCUAAAACGAUGUCAACUGGUUGUUGGGAAGGUUCCUUCUCAGUAACGUAGCUAACGCGUGAAGUUGACCGCCUGGGGAGUACGGCCGCAAGGUUGAAACUUAAAUGAAUUGACGGGGUCAUAGCUGUUUCCU
rnacentral:rRNA from 1 species